rnacentral:rRNA from 1 species
AUGGGAAUUUAAACCCCUUUCAGAGUAACAAUUGGAGGGCAAGUCUGGUGCCAGCAGCCGCGGUAAUUCCAGCUCCAAUAGCGUAUAUUAAAGUUGUUGCAGUUAAAAAGCUCGUAGUUGGAUGUCUGCUGGAAGCAAUCAGUCCGCCCUAUUUGUAGGGUGUGCACUUGAUGAAUUCUGGCAUUUUUGUCCCAAUGAUGUAACGGGGCGGUGGUAUUCGGUGAAAGCCGAGUAUCCUGUUUUCCGAUUAUUGGGAUACUGUUACUUUGAGAAAAUUAGAGUGUUUGAAGCAGGCUAAUUGCCUUGAAUACUGCAGCAUGGAAUAACAAUAUAGGAUUUCGGUUCUAUUUUGUUGGUUUCUAGGACUGAAAUAAUGAUUAAUAGGGACAGUUGGGGGCAUUCGUAUUUAACUGUCAGAGGUGAAAUUCUUAGAUUUGUUAAAGACGAACUACUGC